UACGUAGGGGGCAAGCGUUGUCCGGAAUCAUUGGGCGUAAAGCGCGCGUAGGCGGCCCGGUAAGUCCGUUGUAAAAGUCGAAGGCUCAACCUUCGAAAGCCGAUGGAUACUGCCGGGCUAGAGUCCGGAAGAGGCGAGUGGAAUUCCCGGUGUAGCGGUAGAAAUGCGCAGAUAUCAGGAAGAACACCAACGGCGAAGGCAGCUCGCUGGGACGGUACUGACGCUGGAGACGCGAAAGCGUGGGGAGCGAACAGG
rnacentral:rRNA from 1 species